ensembl:scaRNA
CUGGAGACUAAGAAAAUCGAGUCAUUGAAAUCAAGCUGACACUGCUGUUAGCCUUCUUCAUGAAAAGGUAGAUAGAACAGGUCUUGUUUGCAAAAUAAAUCUAAGACCUCGUUAUCUACCAGUAGCA